UCCCAGACUCCUACGGGAGGCAGCAGUAGGGAAUCUUUCACAAUGGGCGAAAGCCUGAUGGAGCAACGCCGCGUGCAGGAUGAAGGCCUUCGGGUUGUAAACUGCUUUUAUAAGCGAGAAAUAUGAUGGUAACUUAUGAAUAAGGAUCGGCUAACUCCGUGCCAGCAGCCGCGGUAAUACGGAGGAUCCGAGCGUUAUCCGGAUUCAUUGGGUUUAAAGGGUGCGUAGGUUGUUUUAUAAGUUAGCGGUGAAAUACCGAUGCUCAACAUCGGGGCUGCCGCUAAUACUGUAGGACUAGAGAUCGGAUGCAGCAGGCGGAAUGUGUAGUGUAGCGGUGAAAUGCAUAGAUAUUACACAGAACACCGAUUGCGAAGGCAGCUUGCUAGGCCGGAUCUGACACUGAUGCACGAAAGCGUGGGGAUCGAACAGGAUUAGAUACCCGUGUAACG
rnacentral:rRNA from 1 species